rnacentral:rRNA from 1 species
AGAAGUGAGAAUGCCGGUGUGAGUAGCGAAAGACGGGUGAGAAUCCCGUCCACCGAUUGACUAAGGUUUCCAGAGGAAGGCUCGUCCGCUCUGGGUUAGUCGGGUCCUAAGCUGAGGCCGACAGGCGUAGGCGAUGGAUAACAGGUUGAUAUUCCUGUACCACCAUUAUUCGUUUUAAGCGAUGGGGGGACGCAGUAGGAUAGGCGAAGCGUGCUGUUGGAGUGCACGUCCAAGCAGUGAGAUUGAGUGUUAGGCAAAUCCGGCACUCUUAAGAUUGAGCUGUGAUGGGGAGAGGAACUUGUUCCUCGAGUCGUUGAUUUCACACUGCCGAGAAAAGCCUCUAGCUAGAAUAACGGUGCCCGUACCGCAAACCGACACAGGUAGUCAAGAUGAGAAUUCUAAGGUGAGCGAGCGAACUCUCGUUAAGGAACUCGGCAAAAUGACCCCGUAACUUCGGGAGAAGGGGUGCUCUUUGAGGUUCACGCUUCGAAGAGCCGCAGUGAAUAGGCCCAAGCGACUGUUUAUCAAAAACACAGGUCUCUGCUAAACCGUAAGGUGACGUAUAGGGGCUGACGCCUGCCCGGUGCUGGAAGGUUAAGAGGAGUGGUUAGCGCAAGCGAAGCUACGAAUCGAAGCCCCAGUAAACGGCGGCCGUAACUAUAACGGUCCUAAGGUAGCGAAAUUCCUUGUCGGGUAAGUUCCGACCCGCACGAAAGGCGUAACGAUUUGGGCACUGUCUCAACGAGAGACUCGGUGAAAUCAUAGUACCGGUGAAGAUGCCGGUUACCCGCGACAGGACGGAAAGACCCCGUGGAGCUUUACUGUAGCCUGAUAUUGAAAUUCGGUACAGUUUGUACA